rnacentral:rRNA from 1 species
ACGGAGGUGGCAAGCGUUGUUCGGAAUUACUGGGCGUAAAGGGCGCGUAGGCGGCCUGACAAGUCGGAUGUGAAAUCCCCGGGCUUAACUUGGGAACUGCAUCCGAAACUGUUGGGCUUGAGUCCUGGAGGGGGUAGUGGAAUUCCCAGUGUAGCGGUGAAAUGCGUAGAUAUUGGGAGGAACACCUGCGGCGAAGGCGGCUACCUGGACAGUGACUGACGCUGAGGCGCGAAAGCUAGGGGAGCGAACGG